UACGAAGGGGGCUAGCGUUGCUCGGAAUUACUGGGCGUAAAGCGCACGUAGGCGGCUUUCUAAGUCGGGGGUGAAAUCCUGGAGCUCAACUCCAGAACUGCCUUCGAUACUGGAGAGCUUGAGUCCGGGAGAGGCGAGUGGAAUUCCUGGUGUAGCGGUGAAAUGCGCAGAUAUCAGGAGGAACACCAAUGGCGAAGGCGGUUCUCUGGGCCUUACCUGACACUGAGGAGCGAAAGCGUGGGGAGCGAACAGG
rnacentral:rRNA from 1 species